rnacentral:lncRNA from 1 species
UCUAUAGAGCAUGUUAUAGAUCUAUUUACGAUAAUGUAUAUUUUCUAAAGCUUGUUAACAAUCAUGGCAUUAUAGCUUGGCAUAAUAGAAAUGAUUUGGAUAGAUUGGAAAGGCAAGAAGAUGCAACAAAGAGGGCAGCAUCAGUGACGUCGAGCUCUACAGCUACAUCCGAUGCAUGAUACAUACACACACUGCAGAGACAUGAUGCCAGUAUCAUGUCUGCAUCAGCCCUUGUUCUAAGGACUUGGAGGUUAGUGAACCAUGAUUUCGUUCCCCUGCUGUUGUGGAAACUUUAAGGCCUUUGCUCAGGCAGAUGUUUCUGUCACCCAGUCUUCUUUUUUGCUUGUGCUUUCUUCCAGGGACCAUGAUGAACCUGUCUCUCUGGUGAAAAGAGAGUGAAGAGCUCAUGAUAAUGUUACUGAAACAGUACAAAAAUGUUUAGGUAAUCAUAUGAAAGCAUGGCAACCAAUUGAUCUGAUCAUUGUAUUGCGUAUAAGACAUGUCGUUGUCACCAUCAUUAUUUUGUUGCCAUCUCUUACAGAAGAUCAUCAUGCCCAGCUCGUUUUAAUAUAUGUAUGUGCGUAUAUACAUGAACUCCCUUCGUUGUCCUACGCAAGUGCAACAGAAUCUACUCCAACUCCAAUGAUUAAAGGAGAAGGUUCAAAGGAAAAAAGACGAGCACAAGAAUCUCUCUUCAAGAAACAAACACCAUCCGAAAUAUAAGAAUUGCCCAAAAACAAGCACACCCCACUACUGCCUCACUCUUCUCCUUGAGCCCUCACUGCUACUACCAGCUUCGCCCUUCCAACUCCUCCGCCACCUGCUGAGGGGGCGGGCGUGCGUCAACGAAGAAGAAGAAACAGAAGAAGAAGAAGAAAGAGAAGGGAUGUGUGGUAGCAGGUUCAUGAGGGCGUUGAUCACUGGCCUAACAUUCUUCUUGUGCUUGGGGCUCAUGCUGUCGGUGUCUAUGAUUGGUGGAGGAACAAAAGCACCGCCACCGGUGACUGUUGCAAUUGCGGCUUCCUCUAGAGAUAGGCAGCACAUGAGGGACAGGAGCUUCGACCCUUUCUAUGCUAGCAAGAGAAGAGUGCCUAAGGGACCUGAUCCCAUCCACAACAGGUAAUUCUAACAGUGUAUGUCUUCUUCUUUUUCUCUUGAUUCUUACUGCAUUAAGCUUCUUGGAACUGUAAUGCAACGAAUCUAACUGGUUUCGUACUGGAAAAUCUUUACACACAGUAUUUAUUUUUCUUUCUUUCUUUUGAGGUUUAGUUUAGUUAUUACUGCCUACCACACACAAAGGGAUGACUCCGUUACAGUUUUAGAUGAAUUAAGCUCAAUUCUUCAUUUUUACUAGGGACUUAAACUAGACAUGGAUUUAGGUCUUUACGGUGUGUUCUGAACAUGCCUUACAGUAGUAAAUGUAAAAGACAAUUCAAGCACAGACAGAUGCUUUGUCCUUUAGAUUGAGAUUGAUUGAGCAAACGUCAGACAGUGCAGUAAAGAGCAACGAACACAAGGAAGUAGGUUUCUUACUUGCAACUGUUACUGUUUCAAAGGCCCAUAGGUCGAUGGAGUCGGUCACCAGUUUCCUUCAUCUGUGGUGUUCCUACUGCACCGAGCCUAACCACGGUUCUAUGCGUGUGGUUUUUUAGGAGAACAGGGAAGCUAAGCCGACCUCCUGCGAGAGCCUAGUGGUGCGAGGAAGAAGGGAAGCUCCCGCUCGGAAGAUGGAUUAGAGGAGGAUGGGAGUCUCAUCUUGCAUGUAACAGGAAAUGGACCAGCUUUGAACACUCCUAAAACAUUAGCUCUAAUAUUCCUGCUCUGCCAAAGUGCUCUGCUUUACCAAGUGCUGGUUGCGGUGGGAUGUCCGAAGAGUCCAAUCUUCCCUCUCACAAGAUACGCAUUCAGAUGUUCCAGACAAAGAUGUGAAGAGAUGUUGCAGUACUUUACUGACCACCUCCUUUUAUUUUGAGCGCCGGAGAGAGAGAGAGAGAGAGAGAGAGAGAGAGAAGGAAGAGAGCGGUGAAGUUUUGCUGAUCAAGUGAUUGUAGCAACUGUUCAAGCUCGUUAACCAUGGUGGAAUUGUAUGUAUUAAAGGUAAAGGUAAGGCAUCCUUGACGUGUUUAGCUUUCUUCAUCGUU